CCCAGCAGUUGGGGAGUUCAUCGUUCACGACUCCCGAGGCGUCGCUCACCUGAUGAAAAACAACAAGAACAUGAGCCUGAGAACAAGCUGUAAACCGAGCCUGAGUCUGUGUGUGUCUGUGUGUGUGUGUGUGUGUGUGUGUGUGUGUGUGUGUGUGUGUGUGUGUUGGACUACCAAAGCAACAAAACUAAGAGCCACUUCAUUGUUCCUCCUCUCCCCAUCCCCCCUUCCUCCUCCUCCUCCUCCUCCUCCUCCUCCUCCUGCUCGGUCUCAACCUAAACAACAACUCUGACCUAAAGUCUCCUUUUAGGUCAGAGGUUUAAAAGACACGAGAAGCUUGUUUUGUAACACACACACACACACACACACACACACACACACACACACACACAUGUGGAGCUAAAUCACUGCUUUAGCUGCUAGCCGUUAGCUGCUAGAGGGCAGUUAGCUCCGUGAACAGCUAACUAACAA